AGGUCACUGCUAUCGGUGUUCGAUUAAGCCAUGCGAGUCGUGAGGGGUAAAGCCCUCGGCGGAGUGCUCAGUAACACGUGGACAACCUACCCAAGAGUCAGGGAUAACCCCGGGAAACUGGGGAUAAUACCUGAUAGGCCAUGACAUCUGGAAUCGAGUUGUGGUUUAAACGUAAGGCUCUUGGAUGGGUCUGCGGCGGAUUAGGUUGUUGCCGGUGUAACGUACCAGCAAGCCUGUAAUCCGUACGGGUUGUGGGAGCAAGAGCCCGGAGAUGGAUUCUGAGACACGAAUCCAGGCCCUACGGGGCGCAGCAGGCGCGAAAACUCUACAAUGCAGGCAACUGCGAUAGGGGAACAUCGAGUGGCAUCCACCAUGGAUGUCUGUCCAAUCGUCUAAAAAACGAUUGUCAGCAAGGGCCGGGCAAGACCGGUGCCAGCCGCCGCGGUAAUACCGGCGGCUCGAGUGGUGGCCGAUAUUAUUGAGUCUAAAGGGUCCGUAGCCGGCUUUGCAAGUCCUAUGGGAAAUCCAGCGGCUUAACCGUUGGGCUUUCAUGGGAUACUACAUUGCUUGGGACUGGGAGAGGUAGGAGGUACUCAGGGGGUAGGGGUGAAAUCCUGUAAUCCUUUGGGGACCACCGGUGGCGAAGGCGUCCUACCAGAACAGGUCCGACGGUGAGGGACGAAAGCUAGGGGCACGAACCGGAUUAGAUACCCGGGUAGUCCUAGCCGUAAACGAUGCUCGCUAGGUGUCACGGCAGUCGUGAAUUGUCGUGGUGCCGUAGGGAAGCCGUGGAGCGAGCCACUUGGGAAGUACGACCGCAAGGUUGAAACUUAA
rnacentral:rRNA from 1 species